GACUUUGAAUCAAUUUCUGGGAUACCUAAUGUUGUUGGGUCCAUGUAUACUACUCAUAUUCCUAUUAUAGCUCCAAAGAUUAGUGUCGCAGCUUAUUUUAACAAGAGGCACACUGAGAGGAAUCAAAAGACAUCCUACUCCAUAACUGUUCAAGGUGUUGUUGACCCAAAAGGGGUCUUUGCUGAUGUGUGUAUUGGUUGGCCUGGUUCUAUGCCUGAUGAUCAGGUGUUGGAGAAGUCUGCUUUGUAUCAAAGGGCUAAUGGAGGUCUUCUAAAGGAUGUUUGGGUUGUUGGGAGUUCGGGGUACCCUUUAAUGGAUUGGGUUUUGGUCCCUUACACACAGCAGCAUUUGACAUGGACUCAGCAUGCUUUUAAUGAGAAGAUUG
rnacentral:misc_RNA from 1 species